rnacentral:rRNA from 1 species
UACAGAGGUCUCAAGCGUUGUUCGGAUUCAUUGGGCGUAAAGGGUGCGUAGGUGGCGCCGUAAGUCAGGUGUGAAAUUUCGGAGCUUAACUCCGAAACUGCAUUUGAUACUGCGGUGCUUGAGGACUGGAGAGGAGACUGGAAUUCACGGUGUAGCAGUGAAAUGCGUAGAUAUCGUGAGGAAGACCAGUGGCGAAGGCGGGUCUCUGGACAGUUCCUUGACGCUGAGGCACGAAGGCCAGGGG